ACCUCUCCUCUUUUACUGUCCUCCUCUUGCUGCCUCCUGGGUCCCAUCUUGUCCUGCUCUGUCAUUGCAUCCUUUGCCAAGGGGCAAAACAACUUGUCAUUGCUUCCCCUUAGCAGUUCUCCGCUGUACGUGGUGGAGACUCAUUCAUCCCCUCCUCUGUUGCUUGCUGAGGUCUGUAUGCUUGGGAGCCCCUCUGCUCACCCAGCGUUCAGAAGCUCAGGGUGGCAUCUCGGGUAAAGGACCAAUCUCCAUCAGGUGUCAUUUCAACUCAAAACUGAUUUCUCUUGAGACCCCUUGGGUGCAUGUGCCCUUCUUUGCAGGGUGAGAGUUUUCUGUAGACAAAGCAUUGGACCCCAUGGACGUCCUGAUGAGGAUGGGAAAUCAGAGCAAUGACUACAUAGCGAUGUGGAGCGUCAUCUCGGGUCACGUGUGCUUCCAUCCUGACACUCGAUUACUUUUGCAGACCUUCCUGAGAUGAACAGAGAAAUGGGGAGCCCGCUGUACGAGAGGAGAGUAAAGGAACUGCCUUGUCCUACCUUGUGAGAAGCAGACCGAGAGCGGAGAUGACUGCUCUCUGCGAUUACAUCCGAGAGAGCCAAGAGCCAUGCAGAAGAAAAGGAGAGUGCCAGCUCCAGAAAAAAUUAUGUCAAAUCAAGGAAAUGGUCAACAGAGAACUGCCACGCUCAUCACAUGUACGCGUGUCUCAGAAGCCAGUAAAGGCAAGAAAGCUACAUAGACGGACAAAAAACUAGAGCUCUUCCUUUCAAAAUGAUAUCUUUCAUUACACCAACUGGAGAAUCACAAGAAAAUUGUCCUUUUCUGCAAGCUUUCAGGAUCAAAGUCCCUUUGUCAAGCUCUGGGAAAAGUAUAGGUGGUACAAGAUGGUAAGGAGUCCCUAUAGGUAGGAAAUCAACUUAAUUUUU